rnacentral:rRNA from 1 species
UACGUAGGGGGCAAGCGUUGUCUGGAAUUAUUGGGCGUAAAGCGCGCGCAGGCGGCAGGGAAAGUCUUGUGUCAAAGACCGGAGCUCAACUCCGGGUUGCAUGAGAAACUGUCCAGCUUGAGUGUAGGAGAGGGAAGUGGAAUUCCACGUGUAGCGGUGAAAUGCGUAGAGAUGUGGAGGAACACCAGUGGCGAAGGCGACUUUCUGGCCUAUAACUGACGCUGAGGCGCGAAAGCGUGGGGAGCAAACAGG